rnacentral:rRNA from 1 species
AUUGAACGCUGGCGGCAUGCCUUACACAUGCAAGUCGAACGGUAACGGGCCUUCGGGUGCCGACGAGUGGCGAACGGGUGAGUAAUGUAUCGGAACGUACCUUUCAGUGGGGGACAACGUAGCGAAAGUUACGCUUAUACCGCAUAUUCUGUGAGCAGGAAAGCAGGGGAUCGCAAGACCUUGCGCCUAUUGAGCGGCCGAUAUCAGAUUAGGUAGUUGGUGGGGGAAAGGCUCAGCAAGGCGACGAUCUGUAGCGGGUCUGAGAGGAUGAUCCGCUACACGGGACAGGAGACACGGUCCAGACUCCUACGGGAGGCAGCAGUGGGGAAUUUUGGACAAUGGGGGCAACCCUGAUCCAGCCAUGCCGCGUGAGUGAAGAAGGCCUUCGGGUUGUAAAGCUCUUGCGGCCGGGAAGAAAGCGUAUGGGUUAAUACCCUGUGCGGAUGACGGUACCGGCAUAAGAAGCACCGGCUAACUACGUGCCAGCCGCCGCCGUAAAAC